GAAAAACUCCGGUGGUAUGAGAUGGACCCGCGUCUGAUUAGGUAGUUGGUGGGGUAACGGCCUACCAAGCCAACGAUCAGUAGCCGACCUGAGAGGGUGACCGGCCACAUUGGGACUGAGACACGGCCCAAACUCCUACGGGAGGCAGCAGUGGGGAAUAUUGCACAAUGGGGGAAACCCUGAUGCAGCGACGCCGCGUGAGCGAAGAAGUAUUUCGGUAUGUAAAGCUCCAUCAGCAGGGAAGAAAAUGACGGUACCUGACUAAGAAGCACCGGCUAAAUACGUGCCAGCAGCCGCGGUAAUACGUAUGGUGCAAGCGUUAUCCGGAUUUACUGGGUGUAAAGGGAGCGUAGACGGCUGUGUAAGUCUGAAGUGAAAGCCCGGGGCUCAACCCCGGGACUGCUUUGGAAACUAUGCAGCUAGAGUGUCGGAGAGGUAAGUGGAAUUCCCAGUGUAGCGGUGAAAUGCGUAGAUAUUGGGAGGAACACCAGUGGCGAAGGCGGCUUACUGGACGAUGACUGACGUUGAGGCUCGAGAGCGUGGGGAGCAAACAGGAUUAGAUACCCUGGUAGUCCACGCCGUAAACGAUGACUACUAGGUGUCGGGGAGCAAAGCUCUUCGGUGCC
rnacentral:rRNA from 1 species